GACAGAGGGUGCGAACGUUGUUCGGAAUUACUGGGCGUAAAGCGCGUGUAGGCGGCAACGAAAGUCGGGCGUGAAAUCCCACGGCUCAACCGUGGAAGUGCACUCGAAACUGCGUAGCUAGAGUCCUGGAGAGGAAGGUGGAAUGCUUGGUGUAGAGGUGAAAUUCGUAGAUAUCAAGCGGAACACCGGUGGCGAAGGCGGCCUUCUGGACAGUGACUGACGCUGAGACGCGAAAGCGUGGGGAGCAAACAGG
rnacentral:rRNA from 1 species